CCUACGGGAGGCAGCAGUGAGGAAUAUUGGUCAAUGGCCGGAAGGCUGAACCAGCCAUGCCGCGUGAAGGUCAGUGCCCUAUGGGCGUUAAACUUCUGUUGUGCGGGAGCAAUAAUGGUCACGUGUGGCCAGACGAGAGUACCGUACGAAUAAGCAUCGGCUAACUCCGUGCCAGCAGCCGCGGUAAUACGGGGGAUGCAAGCGUUAUCCGGAUUUAUUGGGUUUAAAGGGUGCGUAGGCUGGGAGGUAAGUCAGCGGGGAAAUGCCCCGGGUCCACGGGGUGAAGUGCCAUUGAUACUGGCUGGCUGGAAUGCGGAUGCGGUGUGAGGAAUGUGUGGUGUAGCGGUGAAAUGCAUAGAUAUCACACAGAACACCGAUUGCGAAGGCAUCUAACGAAUCCGCGAUUGACGCUGAUGCACGAAAGCGUGGGUAUCAAACAGGAUUAGAUACCCGAGUAGUC
rnacentral:rRNA from 1 species